GCUGUCUGUAACGCAUACACGUCGCUUGGUCACUGAUCUUUCACAACUGUCUUUGUUUUAAAAAGACUUGUAUAUUUGUACCUGGAUGCUUGUAUGGGUUUGUUUGUAAAUGUUAUCUAAAUCUGUAUUUUGGUAUUUGCUAUCCAUUAUGAUAUUUGCGUGGUUUACACGUAUUAAAUUUUUUGGAAAAGUUUCUGUGCUUUUGUGGGUUGAUGGGCGCCUCUGGGGGGUGGGUGAGAUUGUUGGCGUGUACGGCCAACUGGGCUUAGUUUCAUAAGUCUGAAAAGCCAUGUGUUUCUGCUUUAGACGUGGCUCGAAAGCAGUUUCCGGGGGUUGCUCUCUUCCUCGAAGCGGUAUACAUAUUACUCCCCUUGCUUAAGUAGUUCUUUGAUUUGGAUGGGUGUACUGUGUCCUUUUCACUGGAAAAUGAUUUUUGACAUGCGCUUCCUUGUGUGCUUUUUGGCGAUCGUGAAUCAUUUGACUAACCCAGCCUAUAUGGAGUUCUGCAUUAACAAGCGUGGUUGCGACACACACGGUUGGGUAACCGUACAGUUUAUUGCACGUGAUCUGACCAGCAUAUAAACAUUCCUUCAUCCUAAAAUUCGCUCAUCCUGCUCUUGUUUUCGAUUCUAAACGUUGCGCGUAAUAGUAUAAAAUCGCUUACGGUUUAUAUAUAAUUCUUAUGUACUCUGAGCACUUCAGUCGGCGGCACUAGCUGCAGCAUGAGGUCAUUAAGUAUAACCAGCUCCCUGCAAGGUCAGCUAUGAUUUAUACGCUAAAAAUUUGUUUGCCUGACGUUCCUCCAAGACAAGUGUAUUCAUGGGUGCAAUCUUCCGUAAAUGGAUUAUAUGGAAAUGCUGUGUGUAUUACUUAACCGCAACCAUAAGUAGUAACCAACUAAUGUGGGAGCGGAAUACGUGGAGCCACCCCUCUAUGACACACGGAAUGGUACAGUCCUGGUACAGACCUUUAGAUGGAAAAUGAGGAGCUAUGCAGAAGUUACAGGAAUGAGGAGUUUCCGUGAAAAAGGCGUGGGGCAUUAAAGAUGCAAGAAAGAU